UACGUAGGAGACGAGCGUUGUCCGGAGUUACUGGGCGUAAAGGGUGCGCAGGUGGCGGCGCGCGUGGGGGGUGAAAUCGCCCGGCUUAACUGGGCGGGGGCCUUCCAGACGGCGUGGCUCGAGGCCGGUAGGGGGAAGCGGAAUUCCCGGUGUAGUGGUGGAAUGCGUAGAUAUCGGGAGGAACACCAGUGGCGAAGGCGGCUUCCUGGACCGGUUCUGACACUGAGGAGCGAAAGCGUGGGGAGCGAUCCGG
rnacentral:rRNA from 1 species